AAACUUUUAACAACGGAUCUCUUGGUUCUGGCAUCGAUGAAGAACGCAGCGAAAUGCGAUAAGUAAUGUGAAUUGCAGAAUUCAGUGAAUCAUCGAAUCUUUGAACGCACAUUGCGCCUAUUAGUAUUCUAGUAGGCAUGCCUGUUCGAGCGUCAUUU
rnacentral:rRNA from 1 species